AUUGAACGCUGGCGGCAUGCUUUACACAUGCAAGUCGGACGGCAGCACAGAGACGCUUGCUUCUUGGGUGGCGAGUGGCGAACGGGUGAGUAAUAUAUCGGAACGUACCGAGUAAUGGGGGAUAACUAAUCGAAAGAUUAGCUAAUACCGCAUAUUCUCUGAGGAGGAAAGCAGGGGACCUUCGGGCCUUGCGUUAUUCGAGCGGCCGAUAUCUGAUUAGCUAGUUGGUGGGGUAAAGGCCUACCAAGGCGACGAUCAGUAGCGGGUCUGAGAGGAUGAUCCGCCACACUGGGACUGAGACACGGCCCAGACUCCUACGGGAGGCAGCAGUGGGGAAUUUUGGACAAUGGGCGCAAGCCUGAUCCAGCCAUGCCGCGUGUCUGAAGAAGGCCUUCGGGUUGUAAAGGACUUUUGUCAGGGAAGAAAAGGCUGUUGCUAAUACCGACAGCUGAUGACGGUACCUGAAGAAUAGGCACCGGCUAACUACGUG
rnacentral:rRNA from 1 species